GCUGGAACAGCUCAAUCGGUAGAUCAUGGGGCUCUUAAUUUCAGGGUUGUGGGUUCAAGCCCCACAUUGGGCA